rnacentral:rRNA from 1 species
UACGAAGGGGGCUAGCGUUGCUCGGAAUUACUGGGCGUAAAGGGCGCGUAGGCGGACAGUUUAGUCAGAGGUGAAAGCCCAGGGCUCAACCUUGGAAUUGCCUUUGAUACUGGCUGUCUUGAGUUCGGGAGAGGUGAGUGGAAUGCCGAGUGUAGAGGUGAAAUUCGUAGAUAUUCGCAAGAACACCAGUGGCGAAGGCGGCUCACUGGCCCGAUACUGACGCUGAGGUGCGAAAGCGUGGGGAGCAAACAGGG